rnacentral:lncRNA from 1 species
GCCACCCCUGAGCAGGUGGGAGUGAGCAGUAUAAGAAAUGUAGCUUGAAUGGUCAGCCCUUGGACUCUGCUUCCAUUUCCACCUCCAGGUUUGGGCCUCGAGGUCCUGCCUUGGCUUCCCUCAGUGAUGGAAAGUGGCUGGAAAGUAUAAGCCGAAGUAAACCAGAGAAGACCUAGGCUGCUUUUGGUUAGUGCUUAUCACAGCAGCAGAAAACCAAAUUAGGACUCCAUAGACUCAGCCGUGGGUAUUCAUGGGAGCAGCUCAACCUUCAUUUGUUCAACGGGAGCCGUAAGGCAAGACAGAUGUGGAAUUGUGGAAUACACUGAAUCCAGAAGGGAAAUGACGACAGACAGGAGAUGGGAUAGAGUUCUUGCCUACCUUGCCCAAGACCCCGUAUUUGGUGCCCAGCAGAGAAGAGAAGAGAAGAGAA